rnacentral:lncRNA from 1 species
CCCGAGUCGGCCGGGACAGCUGGUCGACCCCGCGGGCCCUCGGACCCGGGCCCGAGUCGGCCGGGACAGCUGGUCGACCCCGCGGGCCCUCGGACCCGGGCCCGAGUCGGCCGGGACAGCUGGUCGACCCCGCGGGCCCUCGGACCCGGGCCCGAGUCGGCCGGGACAGCUGGUCGACCCCGCGGGCCCUUAGGAAGUGAGGCACGCGAGGGCCACGCUGGAGCACGCACCCACAGACCACCACCCCACGCCGGUGGCGGCCCGGAGCACCCGCUCGCGGACGUGUUCGGAGGCCACCCAGGGCCCCACGACGCCCCCGGCCCGCGGUUUCCCCCUGGGAAGAGGCUCCCGCAGGGCCGGCGGACCCCCGCCCCGCGCCACCCCUCGCGGGGAGACCGGGGAGGCGCCGGGGGUGGGAGGCAGAAGGGAACACAGACGGGCGGCGGCACGGGGAAGCACGAGCCGGCGGGCACGGGGACGGGCGGGCGGGGCGGGGCGCGGCAGGGAAAGGCGCACAACGACGACCAGGCCGAGAGACCCCACCGGCCGGGGGGAACGCACGCGCCGCGGCGCGGAGGACAGGCGCAGGAGGAGGAGGAGGGCGGCAGGCGAGGGAGCAACGAGAA